rnacentral:rRNA from 1 species
UCAGAACGAACGCUGGCGGCAGGCCUAACACAUGCAAGUCGAGCGCCCGCCAAGGGAGCGGCAGACGGGUGAGUAACGCGUGGGAAACUACCCUUUGGUACGGAACAACUCGGCGAAAGCUGAGCUAAUACCGUAUGUGUCCUUCGGGAGAAAGAUUUAUCGCCAAAGGAUGUGCCCGCGUCGGAUUAGCUAGUUGGUGGGGUAACGGCCCACCAAGGCGACGAUCCGUAGCUGGUCUGAGAGGAUGAUCAGCCACACUGGGACUGAGACACGGCCCAGACUCCUACGGGAGGCAGCAGUGGGAAUAUUGGACAAUGGGGCAACCCUGAUCCAGCCAUGCCGCGUGAGUGAUGAAGGCCUUAGGGUUGUAAAGCUCUUUCGCCCGCGAAGAUAAUGACUGUAGCGGGAGAAGAAGCCCCGGCUAACUUCGUG